rnacentral:rRNA from 1 species
GAUGAACGCUGGCGGCAUGCCUAAUACAUGCAAGUCGAACGAGAGGAAGGAAAGCUUGCUUUUCUGAAUCUAGUGGCGAACGGGUGAGUAACACGUAGGUAACCUGCCCAUGUGCCCGGGAUAACUUCUGGAAACGGAUGCUAAAACCGGAUAGGUAGCAGACAAGCAUUUGACUGCUAUUAAAGUGGCUAAGGCCAUGAACAUGGAUGGACCUGCGGUGCAUUAGCUAGUUGGGGAGGUAACGGCCCACCAAGGCGACGAUACAUAGCCGGCCGUGGAGGGCGGACGGCCACAUUGGGACUGAGACACGGCCCAAACUCCUACGGGAGGCAGCAGUAGGGAAUUUUCGUCAAUGGGGGGAACCCUGAACGAGCAAUGCCGCGUGAGUGAGGAAGGUCUUCGGAUCGUAAAGCUCUGUUGUAAGAGAAAAACGACAUUCAUAGGGAAUGAUGAGUGAGUGAUGGUAUCUUACCAGAAAGUCACGGCUAACUACGUGCCAGCAGCCGCCGUAA